rnacentral:lncRNA from 10 species
GAAGUGGGUAAAAAUCUGUAAAGCCACGUUACCAUUAGCACGCAGAGAGCCUUUUCUGGAGAUUGAAAGGAAGUUGAAGAGCUGGGUUAGCUAUCAUCGUAAGCUAUCAUCGUUAGUGAUGGCGUAAACCUGGUGCAUAUAAAAGUUAUGUUGGGCCGGCAUGGUGGCUCAGGCCUGUAAUCUCAGCACUUUGGGAGGCUGAGGCAGGUGGAUCGCUUGAGCUCAGGAGUUUGAGACCAACCUUGGUAACAUGCAGAAGCCAGAGAAUAUCAUCUAAAUAUUGACAUUUCAAGAAACCGGAUGUAAAGGAAACCAAAGUGAGAUAUGAAACAAUCCAGUGAGGAGAAUAAGAAACCUGCCUAAAAAUGAGUUUUGAAGAGCUUGUUUCAGGCAAGACAUCAGAGAGAAACGGUGUGUGUUGUUGGCUUUAUCUGUCUUGACUCUGCAAGCACAUCUACCCGUUACCUGUGGCUUCUCCCUCCCUCAGGGCUAUGUGGAUGUGAGAGAGGUGACAGGUAGGAGAUGGAGAACCAAGAGGAAGUGGAAGGUUGCACAGACAAAGGUGCUAACAGUGGUAGU